UACGUAGGUCCCGAGCGUUGUCCGGAUUUAUUGGGCGUAAAGCGAGCGCAGGUGGUUUAUUAAGUCUGGUGUAAAAGGCAGUGGCUCAACCAUUGUAUGUAUUGGAAACUGGUAGACUUGAGUGCAGGAGAGGGGAGUGGAAUUCCAUGUGUAGCGGUGAAAUGCGUAGAUAUAUGGAGGAACACCGGCGGCGAAAGCGGCUCUCUGGCCUGUAACUGACACUGAGGCUCGAAAGCGUGGGGAGCAAACAGG
rnacentral:rRNA from 1 species